UACGUAGGGGCCAAGCGUUGUCCGGAAUUAUUGGGCGUAAAGAGCUCGUAGGCGGUUCGUCGCGUCGGCUGUGAAAUCCCGAGGCUCAACCUCGGGUCUGCAGUCGAUACGGGCGGACUGGAGUUCGGCAGGGGAGACUGGAAUUCCUGGUGUAGCGGUGAAAUGCGCAGAUAUCAGGAGGAACACCGGUGGCGAAGGCGGGUCUCUGGGCCGAUACUGACGCUGAGGAGCGAAAGCGUGGGGAGCGAACAGG
rnacentral:rRNA from 1 species